UACGGAGGGAGCUAGCGUUGUUCGGAAUUACUGGGCGUAAAGAGUACGUAGGCGGUGAUUCAAGUCAGAGGUGAAAGCCUGGAGCUCAACUCCAGAACUGCCUUUGAAACUAGAUCGCUAGAAUUGUGGAGAGGUUAGUGGAAUUCCGAGUGUAGAGGUGAAAUUCGUAGAUAUUCGGAAGAACACCAGUGGCGAAGGCGACUAACUGGACACAUAUUGACGCUGAGGUACGAAAGCGUGGGGAGCAAACAGGAUUAGAUACCCUGGUAGUCCACGCCGUAAACGAUGAUAACUAGCUGUUCGGGGUCUACGAUCCUGAGUGGCGCAGCUAACGCAUUAAGUUAUCCGCCUGGGGAGUACGGUCGCAAGAUUA
rnacentral:rRNA from 1 species